rnacentral:rRNA from 1 species
AGCGAACGCUGGCGGCAGGCCUAACACAUGCAAGUCGAACGAACCCUUCGGGGUUAGUGGCGGACGGGUGAGUAACACGUGGGAACGUGCCUUUAGGUUCGGAAUAACUCAGGGAAACUUGUGCUAAUACCGAAUGUGCCCUUCGGGGGAAAGAUUUAUCGCCUUUAGAGCGGCCCGCGUCGGAUUAGCUAGUUGGUGGGGUAAUGGCUCGCCAAGGCUACGAUCAGUAGCUGGUCUGAGAGGAUGACCAGCCACAUUGGGACUGAGACACGGCCCAAACUCCUACGGGAGGCAGCAGUGGGGAAUCUUGCGCAAUGGGCGAAAGCCUGACGCAGCCAUGCCGCGUGGAUGAUGAAGGUCUUAGGAUUGUAAAAUCCUUUCACCGGUGAAGAUAAUGACUGUAGCCGGAGAAGAAGCCCCGGCUAACUUCGUGCCAGCAGCCGCCGUAAAAC